ACCAGGAUGGCCGAGUGGUUAAGGCGUUGGACUUAAGUUCCAAUGUACGGAUGUAAGCGUGGGUUCAACCCCACUCCUGGUA
rnacentral:tRNA from 1 species